rnacentral:rRNA from 1 species
UACGGGGGGGGCAAGCGUUGUUCGGAAUUACUGGGCGUAAAGGGCUCGUAGGCGGCCAACUAAGUCAGACGUGAAAUCCCUCGGCUUAACUGGGAGGGUGCGGCGAAAACUGGAAUGCUAGAGGAUGGGAGAGGUAAGCGGAAUUCCUGGUGUAGCGGUGAAAUGCGUAGAUAUCAGGAGGAACACCUGUGGUGUAGACAGCUUACUGGACCAUUUCUGACGCUGAGACACGAAAGCGUGGGGAGCAAACAGG